CUUAAGAAAAUCAUUGUCAUGUAAUCUGAUAUAUCAUUAGGUUAUUUGUAAUACUGCUGCAAUUUCUUAUAUAGUUACAAUAAUUUAAUGUGUAGGUGACAAGGCUUUGGAGCCAUGGUUUUCUUAGGUAGCUUUAUUAGGGCAUCGAACUAUUUGGUGCUACAAUUGUUGUAAAUGUCUAACUUUGUAAGAUAUUCAUCAUUGGUUCAUCAUAGUAUGCUUUCUUCUGUGCCUUGUUUCACAGGCUUGCUCUCACUGCUGCUCUAGACAGGGAACGUUGAUGACAACAUACAGGGCCUCUCAGUCUUUAACCCUGACUAUAAAAAUCCAUUGAUGGAAGCCGGGGAGGGCCGAGAUGAACAUCCGGCUCCUGGGUCUAAGCCAUCGAGAUGAUAGAGACGAUGUUUCCAUGUCAUCUACUCCAGCAGCCGGACAAGGCAUAUAAAAACCAUGGAUCCUUGCUCCCCAGGCCGCAAAAUGAUCGCAGUGAUAUCUACGACCUCCUCCUAGGUGUAUUAAUCUCAAUCUCAUGUUUGGUUUUCUUCCCUUUUCUCUUCUAAUGAUGUAAUUUCUUUUACUAAGAUAACACCAUGUUUGUUGUAAUGCCUUAUUUGAUGUAAGAUCCCUUUUCUACUUUGAAUGAAUUUACUGCAUAUAUUUCUUAUUUAGUUUA